AUUGAACGCUGGCGGCAUGCCUAACACAUGCAAGUCGAGCGAGCGGCGGACGGGUGAGUAAUGUAUGGGGAUCUGCCCGAUAUAGGGGGAUAACUACUGGAACCGUUGGCUAAUACCGCAUACUAUCGGAUGAACCCUUAGGGGAUUAGCUAGUCGGUGGGGUAAAGGCUCACCUAGGCGACGAUCUCUAGCUGGUCCGAGAGGAUGAUCAGCCACACUGGGACUGAGACACGGCCCAGACUCCUACGGGAGGCAGCAGUGGGGAAUAUUGCACAAUGGGCGCAAGCCUGAUGCAGCCAUGCCGCGUGUAUGAAGAAGGCCUUAGGGUUGUAAAGUACUGUCGGCGGGGAGGCGUUACCCGCAGAAGAAGCACCGGCUAACUCCGUGCCAGCCGCCGCGGUAAUUC
rnacentral:rRNA from 1 species